rnacentral:lncRNA from 10 species
CGUCAUUCUCCUGCGUCAGCCUCCCGAGUAGCUGGGACUGCAGGCGCCCGCCACCAUGCCUGGCUAAUUUUUUGUAUGUUUAGUAGAGACGGGGUUUCACCGUGUUAGCCAGGAUGGUCUCUAUCUCCUGACCUUGUGAUCUGCCUGCCUCGGCCUCCCGAAGUGCCGGGAUUACAAGCGUGAGCCACCAUUCCCGGCCCAAAGAGGAGAAGAAGUAUGAAGUGCUUGCUUGGACCUUUCUACUGUGCUUAUUAUUCUGUCUUCUCCUCAUGGCAAGGAUGGGGUCAUGCUUUGUUGUCCAGGCUGGUCUCGUACUCCUGGAAUCAAGGAACCCUUCCACCUCAGCCUCUGAAAGUUCUGGGAUUACAGGCAUAAUUCAUCCUGCCUGGCCAAGAAUCUUUAAUGCUCUGCUCAGGCAACUCUUCCUCUGAGGAUCCUUCCAGUGACAAUUCAAGAAUUAGCGACUCAAUUCCCAGGGUCCCUUAGACCUUCGACCUGCUUGUGGGCAAUUUGGAAACAAGGAUUGUGCCUGAAUCACCUUUGCAUUCCUAGCAUCGUUUUUCCUGGAUAAUAAUUUGUUCAAUAUAUGUUCAAUAAUUGUUCAAUUAUUCAAUAACAAAUGUUCAAUAAAUGUGUGUUAAAUGAAUGACCACAGCUCCUAUAGCAGGUAGCUGACUUUGUGUCUCCUCAACCAAUCUCUGAGCUCUUUGAAACAAAGCCUAUUUUGUUUGAAUGUAAAUUUAUCAUCCCAGUUUCUGGUACAGGGUAGGGAACUAAUGCAUAUGUGGUGAAACAAUCAAUGCCUUAGUGCUUAUGAAGAAUAUCACUGUGUUACACAGAAGCAUGGAAUGACUAAUGUUAAGCUAAACUCAAGUUACUUAGGGAAUAUUAACUUGCAUUUAUUAUACUCUGGGGGAAAAACACAUAUAUGUGUAUAUAUGUAUAACAUAUGUAUGUAUACACAUAUCAGAAUUUGUAUAUGAGAAUGUCUGAUUACUAUCAAAAUACUAUGAUUAAGAAUUAAUUGCAAGACUUUGUAAUUAAAGGUGUCGACACCUCUUAUGUCUCCCUAUUUCUUGUAUUUGGAUUAUCUCUUUCCCUGCCUAUGCUAGAUAUACAAGGUGAUGCCGUGAUUGUGUCUGAUUUAAGCACCAUGACAGUGAUUUGGAGUAACUGUGAAAUUAUUCAUUUUGUGUUUUUUCCAAGCCUUCUGUGUUUCAGUUGCACAGACUGCUCUGACACUGUUAGCGAUGGCAAUCAAAUGCCAGCACAAGAAGCAAGGGGGCACAAAUGAAUCUCCUGAUGAGGUCUAUUUACAGUUCUUGCAGAAUAUUAUACGUUUUUUACUUCAAAACCUCUAGAGUUUUUUAUUUUUAAAACUUUGGUGUAUUUGAGAAUUGGGGCUGGUCAUUUCCUGGUAUGGCUAAUGGUAAAAUAUCAGCUCUUUCUCUCGUUAAUUCAUUUGAGGGAGAUUUCGUUAAGAGGAAGAUUCAGUGAUGAACUCAUGGAGGGAGAGCUGUACCUCUGGUUAGGCUCAGGAGUCGAGAGUGUGAGCUAUGGAGUGAAAGUAGGUGUUUUCAAAUCUGCGUCUACUGUUCCUGAUAGUUAAACACUGGGCAGGUCACUUACUUUGUGCUUCUGUUUCCUCAGCUGCAAAAAAAACUAGUACUUGCUCCAUGACAUUGUGAGGUUUAGAAUUAAUCCAUGCUUACGACAGUGACUGUCAAACCAAAAGUACACAAUAGAUACUAUCUGUUACUAUUGUUCUGUUUUUUUAUUCUUUAUAUUGUUUUACAUCUGAGAACUUCAAAGAUUAUUUGAUACAAAUAUCUCCACUGAUAAAAAUAUCAGUAGAGAAAUAGGAUAAUUAUGCUUAACCAGCUCACAUGUUAUCAAGCA